rnacentral:lncRNA from 1 species
GGCGGGGGCGAAGGGCUGCACGGCGGCUCCCUCACUGGCUGCUUCUCCUUGCAGGACGCGGGAGCCGCCGGCCACCCCCGCGGGGAAGCAGCCGYCGGCGGGGAGGGAGACGCGCCGGGCACCCACCCCAUCCCGGCCGGCCCCCGGCGCGGGGGGCCCCGAGGUGCCGAGCGGGAGGCGGGUGGGGGGCACCCCGGGGCAGAGCCCCCAGGAGCCCAGGGCGCGCGGCGGGUGCACAGCACCUGGGGCCCCGGUGCCACCGCCGAAAAGCACCCGGGCAGGAGGCCUGCGCGUGGCCCCCGCUGCCCGGCUGCAGGCAGGGGGGCUCAAACCCCCCAGUGGGGCCGCGCCGGCGGCUGCCCGAGCCCCCAGCCCCGUCACGGCGCUGCCCCCCUCCCCGCAGCAGGACGCCCGGGUCCCCGCGCCGCCCCGCAAAAGCCCCCUGGAAGGGGGCCGGGGAGCCCUGGGCCGGGGGCGCUCACCGUCGCCCCUCAAACCCGCCGGCAGCCCCAAGCCCCCCGGCAAAGCCGCCGCCGCCUGCCGCCCCCAGACCCCCCCGGCCUGUUUCCCAACGGGCUGCUGUGCCGGGGUGGGAGCCCGGCAAGGCCGCCCGGCCGCCAGCCCGUGGGAGCCCACGGUGGGGGGCGUCGCUGGCCCCCACGGCCGCCGGAGCCCGGCACCCCAGGGCUGCUCGGUGGAGCCGGCAUGGGGGUCCACGGCACGGGAGCGGGCGCUCUACCGCAGCCUGGAGGAGGAGAUCCUGGCCAACAUGAGGGUGCUGGGGGUGGCCGCGGAGGAAAACCACCGUCCGGAGGGAAAUUGGGAAAACCACCAUCCGGAGGGAAACCACAGUCCAGAGGGGAGCGUGGGCGGUGAUGUCCGGCCCCGCUGCAGCCCCACUGCAGCCAGUGGCACCCGGCCACCAAGCCCCCGGCCGGCAUGUCCCGCGGGGCCGCCCCAGAGCGGCGCCUGCACCCCCGACGGGGCGCCCAAGCGGCCUGGGUGCUACGCCAGCGUCGUGGAGGAGCUCUGCCGGGGCCGGCAGCCCCUGCGCCCCGUGGAGCUGAGCGGCUGGGUUGCAAAAAUCCCCCCCAAAGCUGCGCCAGGGCUCGCCGCGCUCCCAGCCGGCAGNNNNN